rnacentral:tRNA from 1 species
AGAUGUGUGUCCGAGUGGUCAAAGGAGGAUGAUUCAGGGUCAUUUGCUUAGUGCUGCGUGGGUUCGAAUCCCAUCACAUCUA